CUGCACUCGCGCCCAUUGUGGUGCCACCAGACGCUCCCUCAACAUGCAGAACGAUGCCGGCGAGUUCGUGGACCUGUACAUGCCACGGAAAUGCUCUGCCAGCAACCGCAUCAUAGGCGCCAAGGACCAUGCGUCCAUCCAGAUGAACGUGGCCAAGGUUGACAAGGUGACAGGCAGGUUCAACGGCCAGUUUAAAACCUAUGCCAUCUGCGGGGCCAUUCUCAGGAUGGGCGAGUCAGAUGACUCCAUUCUCCAACUGGCCAAGGCUGACGGCAUCGUCUCAAAGAACUUCUGACUGGAGAGGAUCCUGGAUGUGGAACGUGUGUUAUAAAUAAAGAGUGAAAGCC